GCAUAUAUCUCAGUUGGUUAGAGCCUGGCGCUGAUAAUGCCAAGGUCACUGGUUCAAUAAUCCUUGUAGGGGCCAGCUGCA